GGGCCUGUAGCUCAAUGGUAGAGCAAUUCCCUCUUAAGGAAUCGGUUAGAGGUUCGAAUCCUCUCAGGCUCA
rnacentral:tRNA from 1 species